rnacentral:rRNA from 1 species
AACAGUUAGAAAUGACUGCUAAUACCGGAUAAUUCAUAUUUAGAUAACUAGAUAUGCUAAAAGGAGCCUUUAAAGCUUCACUUUGGGAUGAGCUUGCGGCGCAUUAGUUAGUUGGUGGGGUAAUGGCCUACCAAGACUACGAUGCGUAUCCGAGCUGAGAGGCUGAACGGACACAUUGGGACUGAGACACGGCCCAAACUCCUACGGGAGACAGCAGUUAGGAAUAUUCGUCAAUGGGGGAAACCCUGAACGAGCAAUGCCGCGUGAGUGAUGAAGGUCUUUAAUUGAUCGUAAAACUCUGUUGUAAGAGACGAAACCACAGUAUAGGAAAUGAUACUGUGCUGACGGUAUCUUACCAGAAAGCCCCGGCUAACUACGUGCCAGCAGCAGC